GGCUACCAUAAUCAAAAGUCGGAAUAGGCUAUCUCUUUUUUCCAGCUCUCUCUUCUCAAAAGUCGAGCUCAAAAUCUCAAUGACGACUCAUUCACUGCACGAAAAAACACAGAUGUCAGUUGAAAAGAGACUGAUUCAAAGAUGGGAUGAUUUUGGUAGAGAUCUUUAAACAAAAAUAAAGACUUAUGGAUGCUUUCAGAUUUGAGGGAAGACUUAGAGACAUGAGAACUUUCAGUAUAUUCAGGUUCAUUUAUCCCUCCAAAAACCUAUCAAAGAUUGAGUGGAUAAGUUAUAAGUCUCUUUCUUCACUUAGACAUUUGUAGUUCUUUUCCCAUACCAAGCUAUAUAUCCUAACAUCAUUUUCCACUUAAUUUACUUAGUCGGUUUAUGCGUUGUAGAUUAAUGUGAGAGAGUUGUAGGUUUCUUUGUGUAGUAUUUGAUGCUUUCCGUUAUAUAUUUUGUACCUGAUGUGUACCAUUUGAUGCCAUCACUUUUAUUAUUCAUUCAAGUGAGAUUCCUUACAUAAAGCACAUGAAUUGGAUUAGACAUUGCUUCGUAUGUUUCAUUCUGGACGCGACUAUAAAAUUCACAUUUCUGCCUGCUCUUUGGAUGUAUAAUUAUCAGUGUAUGUGCCUUGCACGUGUUUCUUUAUUUGUCUUUGUAGUGGCUGUAAUUUCAGGUUUUCGGGUAUUUUCAUUUUUCCAUCUUUCUUCAGUUAUUACUGGCAUGUUUUGUCUAUAUCCACAGUCCAUGUUUUCUCAAAAUCCACUCCUUAUACAGUAAGUGUUUUACAAGUCUCUACUUUGCCAACAUUUGGGUGUGUUAGAUUGUUUCUACGGAUCCGUCCUUGCUCCUAAAUCAUGGCCAUGGUAUGAUAUUUUGUUUAUAGGCAAGUGAUACGAGGCAACAAGUGAAGGCACUUGCUGCUAUAUUUAUGUCGAUAAAUAAAAACUCAGAUUCACUAUGAAAUUCAUUUUUAGGUUUGAAAUUUGAGUAGUAAUUUUAUCCAUAUUAGUUCUGUACUGUUACACUAUGUGAUUGAAUUUUGAUUUUUGGAUUCUUAUGUGUUUCAAUUUUUGUUCUUUUUAGGAGAUUUGUGAUAUUUGAUCUUUCUUCUUUUGAUUUAUGAUAUUUUAUUUUUCUUUUCGUGUUGAUUGGUGUUUUUUUAUCAUCUAAGAAUUCAAAUCUUUAGUGUACCUGUUUGGUGUAUAAUUUGGGCUUUUACUUAGAUGUUGGUGAAGGAAAGGCAAGUGAAUCAUGACAAAUAUCCUGCUGAUCCUGAAGUUGCUGAAAGAUUUCAGAGGUUUUUCUUAAGAGUGGGUUUGUUCGGGGGGGCUUUUAUUAAUGCGUCCCGAGUUUAUGCUGCCUUAGAAUUUUUUUUAAGGGUGGUCUUCUCAAGGGGCAGGAUGAAAAGGAAUCAGGCAGUCUAUGUUAGAGCCACAACAAAUGACCCAGCUAUUCACCGGUUGUUCAGUUUCCCCCGGUAUUUCUGAUUAAUCUAAGAGAAAUUCUUGUUUGGUACUUGCUUGAUCUCAUUGCUGAUCUGAAUGACCAUUUAUUUGGAGUAGCUAUCGACCCACCUUCUUUUUAAAAUUUUGUAACACAUUACAACUACUAAGAUGUGUGUAAUGUACCUGUUGUCCCAAUAGUUUGAAAUUAUAUAUAUAUAUAUAUAUAUAUAUAUAUAUAUAUAUAUAUAUAUAUACUAGAUCGUAAUUUGCAAU